UACGGAGGGUGCAAGCGUUAUCCGGAUUCACUGGGUUUAAAGGGCGCGUAGGUGGGUAUGUAAGUCAGUGGUGAAAUCCCCGAGCUUAACUUGGGAACUGCCGUUGAUACUAUAUAUCUUGAAUAUCGCGUAGGUAAGCGGAAUAUGUCAUGUAGCGGUGAAAUGCUUAGAUAUGACAUAGAACACCAAUUGCGAAGGCAGCUUACUUCACGAUUAUUGACACUGAGGCACGAAAGCGUGGGGAGCAAACAGG
rnacentral:rRNA from 1 species